rnacentral:rRNA from 1 species
CGCCCGCAAGGGGCUCUCACCACGAGAUGAGUCCGCGGCCCAUCAGCUAGUUGGCGGUGUAAUAGACCACCAAGGCUAAGACGGGGUAGCUGGUCUGAGAGGAUGACCAGCCACACUGGGACUGAGACACGGCCCAGACUCCUACGGGAGGCAGCAGUGGGGAAUAUUGGACAAAUGGGCGAAAGCCUGAUCCAGCCAUGCCGCGUGAGUGAUGAAGGUCUUCGGAUCGUAAAAGCUCUGUGGGAAGGGACGAAAAAGCCUAACCUAAUACGUUAGGUCUUGACGGUACCUUCUUAGCAAGCACCGGCUAAACUCCGUGCCAGCAGCCGCGGUAAUACGGAGGGGUGCAAACGUUGCUCGGAAUUAUUGGGCGUAAAAGCGCACGUAGGCGGUCCGCUAAGUCGGAUGUGAAAGCCCUCGGCUUAACCGAGGAAGUGCAUCCGAAACUGACGGGCUAGAGUACGGAAGAGGGUUUCGGAAUUCCCGGUGUAGAGGUGAAAUUCGUAGAUAUCGGGAGGAACACCAGUGGCGAAGGC